rnacentral:RNase_MRP_RNA from 1 species
AAAUAUAGGGGCUUGAGUUGCAGUCGAACAGCACAAAAGGAUGGAAAUCGUCCACCUGUUUGGGGAAAGUCCCCGAGCUCAUGGUAGCAAGUACCACUCGUAACAGAGGAAUCCUGGAGCCUGGCUGACAAGGCUUUGGGCCUUCGCUAUAGCACAGUUAUGCAACUAUAGUAACUCAACGGGGCUUACAAGCUAAUAUAUU